rnacentral:rRNA from 1 species
CAAUAGCGUAUAUUAAAGUUGUUGCAGUUAAAAGCUCGUAGUUGGAUUUCGGAGUGGGCCAGUUGGUCCGCCGCAAGGUGUGUUACUGACUGGUUUGCUCUUCUUCGCAAAGACUGCGUGUGCUCUUGAGUGAGUGUGCGUAGAAUUUACGACGUUUACUUUGAGGAAAUUAGAGUGGUUACGGCAAGCUAUCGCUUUGAAUACAUUAGCAUGGAAUAAUAAUAUAGGGCGUAAGUUCUAUCUUGUUGGUUUCUAGAACAUACGCAAUGAUUAAUAGGGACAAUUGGGGGCAUUCGUAUUAACGCGUCAGAGGUGGAAUUCUUAGAUUGCGUUACGACGAACUACUGCGAAAGCAUUUGCCAAGGAUGUUUUCAUUGAUCAAGAACGAAAGUAUGGGGAUCGAAGACGAUCAGAUACC